AGCAGGGGUCUGGAGUGGAAGAGGAAAGGGGAAGGGGCUAGGAUGGAGAACAAGAGGGUGUGAAGGUGGGACUGAAGUGGAAAGAUAAGGAAGGUGGAGACAGUGGGGAAGAGCAAAAUGAGAGAAGAGAAAUGACAGAAACCCCUUACAGGCAGAGAGAUGGAAGAGAAAACCUUUCUAUCAGGAGUAGGUAUCAGAGGUACAAACAAAUAUGAAAUGGAGGGGAGAGUGAAAGAAUGAAAGGAAAUUCAGAGAGGCACUAAGAGGUCCCAUCAAGGCUCUUCGGAUGGCUUAUCUUCACCCGUUAGAAAUACAGCCAUAUUGCCAAUGCCUGGGGUGAGUGAAAGAGGGCAGUACACCAACAGUCUCUGUGAAACACUUGAGAGCUUCUGCCAGUCAAUGUAGUCAACACUGAGGUAGAUUUAUCCACAGUGUGACUGGGUUUCAGGCAGCUUCCUCCAUUCCUAGGAGUUUCCCACCACACACACACCAAUUAUGACCUCAAACCCAACUUACAUGACCCAGCCAAUGAUAGACAAGGCUUACAUGUAACUCCAUAAAUGGCAACUGACUAUGAUGCAGCUUCCAUGGGCUGCACUCUCAAACACCUUAUCACACUGUGAGGGGCCGGGCCUUGGUCCAGAGACCAUUGAGGGAAGGAGGAAGAGGAAGAAUGUGAGGGAGGCUACUCCUCAGAUGCCUUGCCUGGCGUGGCCCUUGGUGAGGGGGAGAAGCGAGGUCCGCUCAGCUGGCCAGCUAGCCAGCAGCUCACCUAAUGGACAAACUGAUGGAAGGACUGCUCACUUGCUCCCUCUUUUUUUAAAAAAAUGCUAUGUUAUUGAAAAAUUUUCAAAUACAAAGCUGUAAAGUGAUACAAAAAAAGAACAAAACACACAAUUUUGUAAAGGGGGAAGGAAACAUUAUACGAAUAUAUACAAAAAUACCCUAACCCAUACAUCCUUUUAUAAAUUUGAUAUUAUUAUCCUAAUACUAAUGUAAAUAUUAAUAGCCUACUAUAUUUUGCAUAAAUUCAUUCCAAAUAUUGUCGUAUUUAUCCAAGCAGAGUCUAUAUCUUUAAGCAGUCCAUUCAUAGGUUGCAGGUGUUAUCAUAUCAAUCCACUGAUUAAAGGAGAUGUCUUUAUUCUUCCAGUUCAUCAAUAUCAGCCUCUUGGCUACGAUUAGAGCACGUGAAGACCAUUUUUGUUGUCUAGUUGGUAACUUCCAUAUAGUAGGUAUUUAGCUCAGAAGAAUAUUUUCUGUUGAAAAUAUUAAGGUUUUCUUUCCUGAACAGUCAUAUUUAUACAAUCCAGCACUUUCUUCCUAAAUUUAGUAUAAACAUAUGUUUCAGGGAUGCACCGGCUCUCUCAGGCCUUGGCCUCACCUGCCUCCCUUGGUGACAGACAAACGGACAGAUGUGUGUGUAUAAGCACACAUGGCUGCCAGAAACAACAGCGCUGCAACCACCACUUCCUUUUGUAACCGUGCUGCCAUUCGGCCAGUUCCCUCACACGCAACGCCCCCCUCCAAACCUGGACAUUUUACAAUAUUUUAAAAAUCCGCCCACAGUGAUUUCAUCCCUGAAAAAGAGGUCAUGUCUGGGAAAAUCCAGAUGUAUGGCAACCCAAGAGUGCUGUGUAUUUUUCCAUGUACAUUUUUAAAAACCUUACAGCGUCAUUCAGCUUUUCCAAUUCUUGUCUGUGUCCUCUUUUAAGGCUUCCAAUAUGAGGCUAGCUAGAAUUGGCUGAGGGAGCUGAGCAUGUUUAGUCUUGAGAAGAAGAGAAUGAGAGGUGGCACGGUAGUCAUCUUUAAACAUCGGAAGGGAUCUGACAUGGAAGAGA
rnacentral:lncRNA from 1 species